UGAGGAUGUGGCUCGGUGGUAGAGUGCUUGACUAGUCUAGCAUGCUUGAAGCCCUGGGUUCAAUUCCCAGCACCACAA
rnacentral:tRNA from 1 species